rnacentral:lncRNA from 10 species
CCGCGGUUCGGGACACCCGGUCACCAGAAUUUGAAUAAUUUUGUCACCAGAAAAGGAGUCUUGUCCCAGACCCCGAGAGUGGGUUUUUGGAUCUCACAUGGGAAAGAAUUUAUGGCAAGUCACAGAGUAUAGUGAAGGGUUGAAGACCUUCAAAUUAAAUGACAAUAGAUACAUUACUAGGAGAGAAAAUACUUGGCUUCUUGUUGCCCAAGUAUCAUUGU